UACGAAGGGUGCAAGCGUUACUCGGAAUCACUGGGCGUAAAGCGUGCGUAGGCGGUUCGUUAAGUCUGCUGUGAAAGCCCUGGGCUCAACCUGGGAACUGCAGUGGAUACUGGCGGACUAGAGUGUGAUAGAGGAUGGUGGAAUUCCCGGUGUAGCGGUGAAAUGCGUAGAGAUCGGGAGGAACACCAGUGGCGAAGGCGGCAUCCUGGCUCUGUUCUGACGCUGAGGCGCGAGAGCGUGGGGAGCAAACUGG
rnacentral:rRNA from 1 species